rnacentral:rRNA from 1 species
GUCCACGCUGUAAACGAUGGAUGCUAGCCGUUGGCGAGCUUGCUCGUCAGUGGCGCAGCUAACGCUUUAAGCAUCCCGCCUGGGGAGUACGGUCGCAAGAUUAAAACUCAAAGGAAUUGACGGGGGCCCCGCACAAGCGGUGGAGCAUGUGGUUCAAUUCGAAGCAACGCGAAGAACCUUACCAACUUUUGACAUGUCCCGUAUGGGUUUCAGAGAUGAGAUCCUUCAGUUCGGCUGGCGGGAACACAGGUGCUGCAUGGCUGUCGU